UCAAGUUUUCAACGGUUGGAAAUCUGAAAAUCUAAUUCAAAUGAAAUCUAAUUCAAAUGAAAUCUAAUUCAUCUCCCAAACCUAGGGGCAGUGAGAGAGACGAUUGCACAUGAAAUCUAAUUCAUCUCCCAAACCUAGAGGGGGCAGUGAGAGAGACGAUUGCACUUGAAAUCUAAUUCAUCUCCCAAACCUAGAGAAAGAGAGAGGGGGAGAGUGCGAGAGACACGACUGCACAAUUGGGAGAAAACUAUUACGCUCGAGGUCGAAUCGAGCGACAAUGUCAAGGCCAAAAUCCAAUAAAGGGAAGGAAUUCCUCCGGAUCAGCGUCUGAUCUUUGAUGGCAAGCACCUGGAAGAUGGCCGGACGCUCGCCGAUUACAAUACCCAGAAAGAAUCGACGUUGCAUUUGGUUUUGAGGCUUCGUGGAGGAAUUAUCGAGCUUUCCUUGAUGAUCUGCUGCAAAUGUUACGCCCUAUAGAAAGAAGAAGUGUGGGCACAGUAACCAGUUGAGACCCAAAAAGAAGGUCAAGCAUCCAGUGUUCUGCAAAUUAUCAACGGUUUCAUUUGAACUAGUAGAAUGGAUAUGAAGCAAACCACUUGCGGAUCUUUGCUGCAGCAACUGCAGAAAAUUUGGGAUGAAGUUGGUGAAAAUGACGAAGAACGAGAGAAAAUUCGUCCCAAUUGGAUCAAGAGUACUUGGAUGUGUACAAGAGGAAAGUUGACCUGACUGUGAAAUCUAGAGCCCACCUUCUUCAGACAUUGGCAGAUGCUAGAGUUGAACUCACCAAUCUAUUAUCAGCUUUUGGAGAAAAGAAAGGAAAAAAAAGAAAAAAUGGAAAAAGGAUGAAAAAAGGAAAAGAUAAAGAAAAAAAAAGAAAAAAGGAAAAAAAGAAAAAAAUAUUGUUGUUGCAGUUGAAGGUAUUAAAGCACCAGGCAACCUUGCAGGGUCUGAGAGCCCAUUUUUCGGCCAGUUGUCGCUUCUUAUUGCAUCUACUACUGAUAUGAAGGUGGCAGUGAAAAAUAAAGUUCCUCUUGUAAGAUCGUUGACAUUCAGAUGUGUUACAUUCUGUAUUAAAACAGUGACAAAGCAACCAUACUUAAGGUUCACAAGGAACAUGUUCCCAUAUGUAUGGAGUCCCUAAUGAUGGAACUCCUGAUGUGAGGAAUGCAGCUUUCUCAGCUUUAGCGGCUAUUUCCAAGGUGUGGUUCAAUCUUCUCGAGGAGUUUAUGACCACGUGGU